UUGAUUCCCUGCUCAGAUUGAACGCUGGCGGCAGGCCUAACACAUGCAAGUCGGACGGUAGCACAGAGGAGCUUGCUCCUUGGGUGACGAGUGGCGGACGGGUGAGUAAUGUCUGGGGAUCUGCCCGAUAGAGGGGGAUAACCACUGGAAACGGUGGCUAAUACCGCAUAACGUCGCAAGACCAAAGAGGGGGACCUUCGGGCCUCUCACUAUCGGAUGAACCCAGAUGGGAUUAGCUAGUAGGCGGGGUAAUGGCCCACCUAGGCGACGAUCCCUAGCUGGUCUGAGAGGAUGACCAGCCACACUGGAACUGAGACACGGUCCAGACUCCUACGGGAGGCAGCAGUGGGGAAUAUUGCACAAUGGGCGCAAGCCUGAUGCAGCCAUGCCGCGUGUAUGAAGAAGGCCUUCGGGUUGUAAAGUACUUUCAGCGGGGAGGAAGGCGGUGCGGUUAAUAACCGCGCCGAUUGACGUUACCCGCAGAAGAAGCACCGGCUAACUCCGUGCCAGCAGCCGCGGUAAUACGGAGGGUGCAAGCGUUAAUCGGAAUUACUGGGCGUAAAGCGCACGCAGGCGGUCUGUUAAGUCAGAUGUGAAAUCCCCGGGCUUAACCUGGGAACUGCAUUUGAAACUGGCAGGCUUGAGUCUUGUAGAGGGGGGUAGAAUUCCAGGUGUAGCGGUGAAAUGCGUAGAGAUCUGGAGGAAUACCGGUGGCGAAGGCGGCCCCCUGGACAAAGACUGACGCUCAGGUGCGAAACGCG
rnacentral:rRNA from 1 species